rnacentral:tRNA from 1 species
GCUGUGUUGGUGUAGCGGUUAGCAUAAGGCCCUGUCACGGCCUUGACCCGGGUUCGAAUCCCGGACACGGCG